rnacentral:rRNA from 1 species
UACGUAGGGUGCAAGCGUUAAUCGGAAUUACUGGGCGUAAAGCGUGCGCAGGCGGUUUUGUAAGUCUGUCGUGAAAGCCCCGGGCUUAACCUGGGAAUUGCGAUGGAGACUGCAAGGCUUGAAUCUGGCAGAGGGGGUAGAAUUCCACGUGUAGCAGUGAAAUGCGUAGAGAUGUGGAGGAACACCGAUGGCGAAGGCAGCCCCCUGGGUCAAGAUUGACGCUCAUGCACGAAAGCGUGGGGAGCAAACAGG